UUGUCAUCUUUUUAUUCACUUAUUAAACUGCUCGUUAUAAUAUGUGGCUUGCACUUAGCCAUGGUCAAAGGAAGGAUCUUUCUUAAAUACCACAAGUGCAAUUCUCUCCCCUCCUCGUCGUUCCCUUUUGCCAGUUUAAUGGAGAUAGAAGAAAAAUAUCCUGUAACCUUGCAUUACCCUUUCAAAAGCUCUCAAGAGUUCUUUAUUUUCAUGGUGCCAACCAGCUGGGACAAGACGACUCUCUUGAUUUUAGGGUCUGGGUUUCGCUGGAGCUGAAGGUACCUUGAAAACAUCUGUGCAAUAUUUUAAAGCUUGGAAAUUAUGAAAUGGUGAGUCUUUGUUCACAUCUUAUAAUAGCCCUUGUGUUUUAAUGUAAAUCCAUACAAGAGCUCCAUUAUAAGACCUUGUGUCGAUCAAGUUGCUUAGUAGAAUUUUAGUUAUUUAUUCGAGUAAAUUCCAUAGUUCAAUUCAAAAUUAAUUGGAAAAGGAGUACAAGUAGUCAUGGAGAUCAUGAUUUCAGUACUUUCCGAUCGAUCCAAAGGCUAGAUUUUAGAUGGAUGCAGGUACCAUCAGUACCAGAGAAACCGAGCUUAGGAGUUCAAUUUUGUUUUCGGAAUAGUGGAUCGUUGCUCAGGAGGGAACAAGUGCUUCAAAGGGCUGCAGUAAAUACAUUUAGGAGCUAAGAAAGAAGCUGGCAACUAUAGAAGAACAGCCCUAAGCCCAAAAAUCUUGCUUUACCAUGGCCUCAUUUUCAAAGUCAUCAAAGGUUAGUGAAUCUCCCAAGCAUACAUAGAAGCUAAUAUCCAUGCAGACAUAAUGCCUGCUAAGGGUGUAGAAUUAGGCUAUGAGAUUUAUUAUACAAGCCUCCAAGUUUCAUGUCAGAGUGCUUGCAGAAGGAUUUUUGUGGUACAGUUGAAUUCAGGCUUUGUAAGUAGUUUCUGAGGUUCUUUUUCUUCUUGUUUUUCCUGGGCUUUGUAUCCCGUCCAUAACAAUAAAAAAGAAAGGUUGAAACUUGAAAA